rnacentral:lncRNA from 10 species
UCAAACUCUUGGGCUCAAGCCAUGUGCCUGCGUCGGCCUCCCAAAGUGGUGGGAUUACAAGUGUGAGCCACCGGGCCCAGCCAGCACAUUCUUUAUGUUUUUCUGCACCAUUUGAGUCAGCUGCCCAUUUUGGCUCUGGAAUUUUCAGCGUGCAUUUCCUCAGAACAAGGCAGCCAGUGCGGUGCUCAAACCCGGGGCUUUUGCAGGGAUGCCGUCCAAGCCACCGACCCCAUUCCAGCGUGUCCCACGUGUCAUGGGCCAGUCUCCAAAGCCUCUGGGGGCUUAGGGAUGGAGCCCGUUACUCAGGAGUGUCCCUGGCUGGGUCUGCUGGUGACCCUCAUGAUGAGAUGCCACUCAUGCUUGUGGCAGCAGCAGAGGGCACCACCCAGGGUGGCACACAGAGCCCACCUGUUCAUCCCAGUGAUGCCAACGUGACUACUUGGUCGAGGUCUUGUCUGCAGGAUUUUCCGCUGCAAAGCUACAUUCCCUUGUCAUUAAUUUGUCCACAGAAAUGGGACCAUGUUGAC